rnacentral:ncRNA from 1 species
CGGCCUGAGGUCGGACGAGGCUACCCGCUGAAUUUAAGCAUAUUACUAAGCGGAGGAAAAGAAACUAACGAGGAUUCCCUCAGU